rnacentral:rRNA from 1 species
GAUGAACGCUAGCGGCAGGCUUAACACAUGCAAGUCGAGGGGCAGCAUAAUGGAUAGCAAUAUCUAUGGUGGCGACCGGCGCACGGGUGCGUAACGCGUAUGCAACCUACCUUUAACAGGGGGAUAACACUGAGAAAUUGGUACUAAUACCCCAUAAUAUCAUAGAAGGCAUCUUUUAUGGUUGAAAUUCCGAUGGUUAGAGAUGGGCAUGCGUUGUAUUAGCUAGUUGGUGGGUAACGGCUCACCAAGGCGACGAUACAUAGGGGGACUGAGAGGUUAACCCCCCACACUGGUACUGAGACACGGACCAGACUCCUACGGGAGGCAGCAGUGAGGAAUAUUGGUCAAUGGACGCAAGUCUGAACCAGCCAUGCCGCGUGCAGGAUGACGGCCCUAUGGGUUGUAAACUGCUUUUANAAGGAUAAAGUGAGUCUCGUGAGACUUUUUGCAUGUACCUUAUGAAUAAGGACCGGCUAA